CAACGGCCGCGGGAUCCUACACCGUGCAAAGGUAGCAUAAUCACUUGUCACCUAAAUAGUGACUAGUAUGAACGGCCCAAUGAGGACUUUCCUGUCUCUUAUAACCAAUCAAUGAAACUGAUCUUCCAGUUCAAAAGCUGAAAUAUAAACACAAGACGAAAAGACCCUGUGGAACUUUCAAGUGUUAAUCAACAACAUGACAUAACCACUUUUAGUUGGGGCAACUUUGGAACAAAACAAAACUUCCAAUAUGAACUACAAAUUUACCCAAAAUUAGGUCCACAAACCAAUUCUUGCUACUUAUAAUGACCCAGUACUACUGAUUAAAGAAACAAGCUACCCCAGGGAUAACAGCGCCAUCCCCUCAUAGAGCCCCAAUCGACGAGGGGGCUUACGACCUCGAUGUUGGAUCAGGGCCCCCAAACAGUGCAACAGCUGUUAAUGGUUUGUUUGUUCAACAA
rnacentral:rRNA from 1 species